UGGAUUGUGGAUGAACAUUCAUAGCAUCUUUAUUUUUUAAUAUUGAACAAUUUUUUAAAAAUUUGAAAUCCAG